GAUGAACGCUGGCGGCGUGCCUAAUACAUGCAAGUCGAGCGAACGGACGAGAAGCUUGCUUCUCUGACGUUAGCGGCGGACGGGUGAGUAACACGUGGAUAACCUACCUAUAAGACUGGGAUAACUUCGGGAAACCGGAGCUAAUACCGGAUGAUAUUUUGAACCGCAUGGUUCAAUAGUGAAAGACGGUUUUGCUGUCACUUAUAGAUGGAUCCGCGCUGCAUUAGCUAGUUGGUAAGGUAACGGCUUACCAAGGCAACGAUGCAUAGCCGACCUGAGAGGGUGAUCGGCCACACUGGAACUGAGACACGGUCCAGACUCCUACGGGAGGCAGCAGUAGGGAAUCUUCCGCAAUGGGCGAAAGCCUGACGGAGCAACGCCGCGUGAGUGAUGAAGGUCUUCGGAUCGUAAAACUCUGUUAUUAGGGAAGAACAAAUGUGUAAGUAACUAUGCACAUCUUGACGGUACCUAAUCAGAAAGCCACGGCUAACUACGUG
rnacentral:rRNA from 1 species